rnacentral:rRNA from 1 species
UACGAAGGGGGCUAGCGUUGCUCGGAAUCACUGGGCGUAAAGGGUGCGUAGGCGGGCCUUUAAGUCAGGGGUGAAAUCCUGGAGCUCAACUCCAGAACUGCCUUUGAUACUGAAGAUCUUGAGUUCAGGAGAGGUGAGUGGAACUGCGAGUGUAGAGGUGAAAUUCGUAGAUAUUCGCAAGAACACCAGUGGCGAAGGCGGCUCACUGGCCCGAUACUGACGCUGAGGCACGAAAGCGUGGGGAGCAAACAGG